rnacentral:misc_RNA from 1 species
CCGAGUUUACAACUCCCAAACCCCUGUGAACUUAUACCUUUUACCGUUGCUUCGGCGGGUUCUCGCCCCGGAACAGGUUCUUCCUGCCCGGAACCAGGCGCCCGCCGGGGGACCUAAACUCUUGUAUCUUUUUUAUAGCAUGUCUGAGUGGAAUCAUAAACAAAUGAAUCA